CAACCUUCUCGAUUUUCUUUCCCUCUUCUCAAACGAACCAGUUGCCUCCCACCAACAUUCGACGUUUCUACUUCUUCUGAUAAUCAUCAACCUCUACCAAGUCCUACCCUAGAAAGCGAGAAUCUGCUAUAGCCGAUGCCAGCGACUUCGCUUCCACUACAGAAGGCUCUGAGUCUUUCUCUAUAUAUCUUCUUUCAUGGAUGUUUGCUGAUUGGUUCCACUUCCCAAUCCGAAUGACCGUCAGCUACUCGAUUUCUUAUCGUCGGCGUUAUGUUCCGUUCAUAUGUUCAGAUGUUUUCGUUCUGAUUGUUGUUCAUCUUUUCUGUUUCCCAGUUGUUCAUCGUCGUAGUUAGCCCUCCUCUGGAAAUCGUCGUCGCCUCCAUCUUGUCAGGUAGCUUAAUGGCUUUUAAACCCUAAUUAUCAAAAUCAGCUUUACGAAAUGGUUGUUGAUCUGUGUCUUACCCACCAAUCAUAUAUGUCCAACUGUGCGUGUGAGAGAACACAUGUAAAACGGUGCAAAUGAUUGCAAGAGGAGGAAUGUCAGGAAGGAGAAAUAUAGGGCUUCUUCCCAACAGAGUUUAAAAGGGUGCGAUUAAAGCAGGAGAACACAUCUGCACUUACAGAGCUUAGUUUGCUUACUCUCCCCAUGAUGCUUUUAAAAAGAAUAGGAUGUGGUUCAAUCGAGUUGGCAGUCCAGGUGUUCGUUGAAAUGUAGUACAAAUGCAUUUCUCUUUUUCCUGCCAUUGAACAUUCUGGUAACCGGGUUCCAGCGAAGCAGUAACAACAGCUAAGGAAUUUAAUUAAUCCCUGCCAAGGCUGCAACUCUUAACUUUGAGGAUUUCUACAAUAUGCAAUAUGUAAACAUGUAUAACAUAUUCAUGGUCCAAUUGCAGACAACUCUCUUCGUGAUUAUCAGAUUACAUCUUCUUCCAAUAGUGAUGGUUUAUUUCUUAGGUGGGAGAAUCCAUUAAUGGGGUGGACAUUGACUGGAGACCCGUAUGCUAAUUUUGGUGAAGCAGGACUCAGUUUUGAAAGUGAGGAUGCAGCCAAAGCAUUUGUUGAGAAGCAUGGCUGGGAAUAUGUGGUACAUAUGCUCCUACCAUUCUUCAUUUAUUCAAAAUAGCAAAAAAUAAAAGUAUAAUUGACUGAUAAAUGUAAAAAAAUAGCAAGUUGCUUUUGUUGACAUGUUUGUUACAACAUAAUACUUUCUAAAAUCCAUCCAAUUAUAGCAAUGUCAA